UUUUUUAUUUUUUUGACAAAACUGUUGCAGAUUGAAGCCUUCUCUCUCUCUCUCUCUCCCUCAGCAAACGAAGUGGGCAAACGAAGUGGUUGCUGCGAAACCCUAGUCGCAUACAGAGAAUACGGAGUAGGAGAACCAAAGCAAUUGCUGCGAAAACCCCAAGCAUUUUCAGGUGUUUACUUGGAAGUUUUGAUGGCAUGAGUGGAGUCGGAAAAAAAUAAAAUGAGAGUCUAUUGAGCACAGUUUCAGCUUAGGCGUCAGCUUAUUGCAAUUAGUGACAAAGAGAAUGUACCUUCACAGAAAUGGAAAACACUUGGAAGACAUAAUCAAUGAAGGGCCUAAGUUGAAAAAGCUGAUCGGGCUGAUCGUUGAAAGUUUGCUAAGCUUGGGAUGUUAAAAGAAGAAAGGCAAGAAAACUAUUAAACUAGCACUCGAUUGUCUCCAAGGAAAUAUAGAUGCAUCAAAAGUUGUUCAGAAAUUGGAUAAUUUUUUUUAGAAAGAAUGGGUUUACAAACAACCUCAAAUGCUUUACAAUAUUAUAAAUUUUCUUCCAUGUAAUUACUAGUCUUUGUGUAAUGGCAACUGUGUUAGACCGUGUCAAGGCUUUUAUGAUUGAGGUUCAUAUUAGGGAAAGGAGAGUGGGGGGAAGCAACUUUAUCACGAUUACAUUUUACAUGUAUGUUUGUUGGAAUAUAAAUGUUGCUGGAGCAUACAUUUUACACUUUAUUAUUCUUGUAAUUAUACUUGAUGUAAGAUGCUAAA